rnacentral:lncRNA from 1 species
AUGAAGCGUGUUCUCUCAUCAACUCUGGAGAGGAAGGUCAAAGGUCGUGUGAGGUGUUGGGAGGUCACGGCAGUGAUAGGGCCUUCUCCUUUCUUAAAUAGAUUUGGAGAUUUGGAUGGGUCAUAUAGUUAUUCAGCAUUUCUUUUCAUGGCUUUGGAAAAAAGAGAUGGCUGCAGUGAAAGUCCAAUGCAGAGGGCAGGUUUAACUGACUUCAAGCUGCACUUGACAGAGUUCCCGCUUAAAUUAUUAUGGCUGAGUUCUGGGUUCAACUAUAGCUUUUGCUCCACCUAUCAGGUCUGGCAGUCUACGUCUCUAGUCUCUGACAUACCGAGGGGGCCAAGGCACUUUACAGAAGCAUCUUACUUAGAAGGGAGUGGCACAGGAUUCCUUGGAGGAGCUAUACACAGGUGGAUUUUACUCUAAAUUGGUAUUGAAGAAGUAAGAGUAUGAUUUUGUGUUGCUUAGUCAUUGUGGGUCUAUAGGAAAGCUGUAAAUAUCAGUUAUUUACCGAAACAUAUUUUACAUAAAAUUGUAAAAUGGAAAGCUUUGCUGGCGCGUAGCAUGGCUUCAUUAUUACUAUAAUCCACUUCAUCAGCUCAUAUGGUUGCUAUUCAUUUAAUUUUGUUACAAAUGGGAAAGACAAGGGGGGGAAGUUCCCCACACAUAGAAAUUACUUCAGAAAAUGACCUUUCCAGGAAUUUCUAUUGCAGAAAUUGAUGAUUGCCAACCGCCAGAAAUUGUGAAAGGGACUGGCAGCCCCACGUCAGAGGACUUCGCCUGCGCUGCUCUGUGUUUAGAAUUGCAUUAAAAGUUUGACCUUAUUUAAAAAUGCACUGCAUCCUCUCUUCCUUGAAUAAUACAUCCAUCUCACCAUCAUUCGCGGUGGAAUAAUAUGUUGCAUUUAUAAACAAAUAGAUAGAUUCCUGGAGGCCCUCACCAGCGAUCCUUCCAUCCUCAGUGCAACGCCUGCUUAUUGAGAGAGCCGAAAAAGGAGGCGAAUUGAUUCCACAAACGGCUGGUUUUUCUGAUAAGAAAUGAUAAAUAAAGUAGCGUGUUUUCCGGUAACCACAGUCGUAUCCCAGCAAGUUAACCUUUACCAGAGACCCCUUUAACAAGCAAACAAGUAAAGGUUCUUAUCAAAAUACCUCCUUCUCCUGCUCGGAUUUUAAGUCGGGAAGUAAUUUUGUUUCACUGCGAACUAUAAGAAAGGCUGGAAUUAAGCAUUCAAUUCAAUGAUCCCCUAUUGCUUAG